GUGAAUCAUGAUCUGGCUCGUUGUUCCUUUUUCCUAUGCAUAUACUUCUUUGAGAAUUGCUUCUAAAGAGGUAUAGGGCAUGGGAAAAUGGGGCAACUGAGGUACUCAACCACUCAUC
rnacentral:pre_miRNA from 12 species